rnacentral:rRNA from 1 species
GACGAACGCUGGCGGCGUGCUUAACACAUGCAAGUCGAACGCUGAACCCGCUUCGGUGGGGGAUGAGUGGCGAACGGGUGAGUAACACGUGGGCAACCUGCCCCCGGCUCUGGGAUAACUCCAAGAAAUUGGGGCUAAUACCGGAUGUGACCGCUGGCCGCAUGGUCUGGUGGUGGAAAGGGUUUCCGGCUGGGGAUGGGCCCGCGGCCUAUCAGCUUGUUGGUGGGGUAGUGGCCUACCAAGGCGACGACGGGUAGCCGGCCUGAGAGGGUGACCGGCCACACUGGGACUGAGACACGGCCCAGACGCCUACGGGAGGCAGCAGUGGGGAAUAUUGCGCAAUGGGCGGAAGCCGGACGCAGCGACGCCGCGUGGGGGAGGACGGCCUUCGGGUUGUAAACCUCUUUCAGCAGGGACGAAGCGCAAGUGACGGUACCGGCAGAAGAAGCACCGGCCAACUACGU